ACGGCUCAGUAACACGUGGACAACUUACCCAAGAGUCCGGGAUAACCCCGGGAAACUGGGGAUAAUACCGGAUAGAUCAUCUUUGCUGGAAGGCUUGGUGGUUGAAACUUCCGGGGCUUUUGGAUGGGUCUGCGGCUGAUUAGGUUGUUGCCGGUGUAACGUACCGUCAAGCCUGUAAUCAGUACGGGUUGUGGGAGCAAGAGCCCGGAGAUGGAUUCUGAGACACGAAUCCAGGCCCUACGGGGCGCAGCAGGCGCGAAAACUCUACAAUGCAGGCAACUGCGAUAGGGGAACAUCGAGUGAUCCUCAUAUUGGGGGCCUGUCCACCUGUCUAAAAAACGGGUGUUAGCAAGGGCCGGGCAAGACCGGUGCCAGCCGCCGCGGUAAUACCGGCGGCUCGAGUGGUGGCCGAUAUUAUUGAGUCUAAAGGGUCCGUAGCCGGCUUUGCAAGUCUCUCGGGAAAUCCAGCGGCUUAACCGUUGGUCGUCCGGGGGGUACUACAUUGCUUGGGACUGGGAGAGGUAGGAGGUACUCAGGGGGUAGGAGUGAAAUCCUGUAAUCCUUUGGGGACCACCGGUGGCGAAGGCGUCCUACCAGAACAGGUCCGACGGUGAGGGACGAAAGCUAGGGGCACGAACCGGAUUAGAUACCCGGGUAGUCCUAGCCGUAAACGAUGCUCGCUAGGUGUCACAACAGUCGUGAAUUGUUGUGGUGCCGUAGGGAAGCCGUGAAGCGAGCCACUUGGGAAGUACGACCGCAAGGUUGAAACUUAAAGGAAUUGGCGGGGGAGCAC
rnacentral:rRNA from 1 species